rnacentral:rRNA from 1 species
GACGAACGCUGGCGGCGUGCUUAACACAUGCAAGUCGAACGGUGAAGCGCUUGCCUUUUUGGUGGGUGUGGAUGAGUGGCGAACGGGUGAGUAACACGUGAGUAACCUGCCCUCUUCUUCUGGAUAACCUCAUGAAAGUGGGGCUAAUACGGGGUAUUCCGGGUCUGUCGCAUGGCGGGUUUGGGAAAGAUUGCGCCUUUGGGUGUUUUCGGUGGGGGAUGGGCUCGCGGCCUGUCAGCUUGUUGGUGGGGUGAUGGCCUACCAAGGCGGUGACGGGUAGCCGGCCUGAGAGGGUGGACGGCCACACUGGGACUGAGACACGGCCCAGACUCCUGCGGGAGGCAGCAGUGGGGAAUAUUGCACAAUGGGCGCAAGCCUGAUGCAGCGACGCCGCGUGAGGGAUGGAGGCCUUCGGGUUGUGAACCUCUUUCGCCAGUGAAGCAGGCCUGCUCCUGUGUGGGUGGGUUGACGGUAGCUGGAGAAGAAGCGCCGGCUAACUACGUG